UUGGGACGAAGGUGAGCAAAAGGAAAAAAAAAAAAAAGAAAAAACACAGAGAGAAUAAAAAAAAAUGGCGUACACGAGAGGAGCAAAAUGGCAUAUGGGCUAGAUGAGGACGGUAUAUUUCCGCGUUGAUUCACGCGAUCGAAAUUAUUCGAGAAGCCAAACUGUCUAUGGGCGGUGUUGUAUAUUAUACGGACACGUGGGUACCCAGCUAGCUGCCUACACAACAUCCAUACCUAUCUUUUAAUCGUCCAAUCAUUCGCUCCCGGGAUAAUUAUGUUACUAAUUAUCUAGGUAACUAUUAACUCGCGCUAUAGGGUUUAUUUCUCGUAUGCACAUAGUUAUCCAUAUACAUACGUACACCGAUAUACAUGUGAAAAUAUUCCCGCUUAUGUGUGUACGUGUAUGUGUGUAUAUGUGUGUGUACGUAUAGCUACCUUUCCGCCGAUUUAUACCGGUGGUAAUGACGGCCGUAGGCUACCAUACGGUAAUACGCGUAUGGUGUUCCGCGCGAGCUGAUGGUAUCGUCUAAUCGGAAGACGUGAAUUCUCGAGAGAAUAUUAUUCGCGUGUGUCUUCUUCUGUAGACACUGCGAGACGUGGAUAGCUUUAUUUUACAGAUGGUAAUUUAAAAUUGAUAGAAUAAAAAAGGAGGGACGUACAGAGGUGUACGAGCUCCCAUAUGUGCGGUUUAUCGCGGAUCUUGAAACGCUAUCAAAGUCACGCUAUUCCUUUUCGCCUUUCACCCCGGAUGUGGGUCGUGGCCGACGCGGACUUUGGUCUCAUCCCCACAGCGAUCAGAAGUGAGAGCGCCGCGCGGCGGUGCGAAAGAAGAAAGUUUUGUGAAAGUAGCUCGCGAUAUUACGAACCUCGUUCAUAUACACGCGAACACGCGCGUAGGGUGUGCGUAUUUCGAUCUCGAUCUCUCUCUCUCUCUCUCUCCCUCUUUUUCUUAACCGUGCGAACCCGCAAAGACACCUUGACACUGCGCCACAUUCGCUCGGUCAUCGCGUUACCCGUUUCGUUUGCUUUCCUCCUUUUUUUCGUCCGCACAUUUUUCCUACCGUCGUCGUUCGUCGACUUUUUUUUUUUUUAUUUGCUUUUGCUUUUUCUCUAGCGCCGUUCGCUUUUCCAUCGCGGCGAAACUUUCUUUCGUCGAAGCGCUGGUCCCCUCCCCCUCCCCCUCCCCCCCGUAAUCGAACGUGACCGUACGUAGAACGCGAUCGGACACCAGGAAGCGGAACUCGUCCCCGCGUUUAUAUUUAAAACGAAAUAAAAUGCGUCACACCCCGCCAAUUCGGAACUUCGUUCGAAAAUUCUCGCGUGUGUUUUGAUUCCCGGUCAUUGAUAUUGCGGAGCAAUUUUUUACGGUGGGGGUAUUCGAAACAGCUUCCGAAAUUCUUCGCUAGAAACGCCGUGAAUACGUAGGUAUGUACGUUACUUUUUUUUUUUUUUCUUUUUCUUCUUCUUCUCUCCAUGAAUCGGAAUAACACGGAUUACGAAAUUAUCGAUAGUUGCGCGUUUGGAUCCCGCGGGCGCCAAAUAAUGUAAUCUGUCCGAAAAUUUGCAUCUCGAAUACAUUCGAUUUUUUCUCUUCUUUUUUUACUUUUUUUUUUCUUCGCGCUAUCAAUUUCGGUUAGGACCGCUUAGAAAUGCCGUUCCCAGGCUCGGCCAGCGGCUGCCAGUUUCUGUGACCCGAGAGUUUGAAAUAUUCCUACUGCAAAUGUUACAAAAUGAUCCGACGAAUAACGAGUCGACCGUAUCGAGUAUACGCGACGCAUUUCCCUUUCAGCGCGGCGCGAAUUAUCGACUGUAUGGAAAUACGCGUUGAAUUCGAAAAAGCAUCCGAUCCUUGACUUAAGGUCACGGCUGUCGUAUUGUAAUAACGUAAUACGCAACGACAAAUGCAGUAUAAUUUCUAUAAUCCACACUUCGAUUACCGAACAGACGGUACAGUGUACGUGCGUGCGGCUCACAAGCCGUCGAUGAUAAAGAAAUAAAUAAGACGAGAGAAAAUAAGACAAUGAAGAAAAAACGAAGGAAGGAUGCCACGACGAUCAUCUGGGCGUCGAGGACAUCGUCGCGUCGCGUCGUGACGCCCUCCCCCUCCCCUCUAUCUCCCUCUUCUCUCUGCGUCUUUCGCGGUAUCGCGUCACCUUAAUUGGCCGCGCACCUCCUGGUCCAGAAAACAAUAAUCGGCUGAAAAGGAACUCCGCUCAUUAAUCAAAUUAUUUCGUUCGAUUUUCGUUGCGUCGUACCGAUACGACGACACUUAUUCUGGACGAUACUCGACGUCGAUUCAACUUCGUACUGAAACGCUCGCCUUCCGACUCUACGUCGAUGUAAUAAUACGACGUCGAUGUAUCGCCGAUGGAACACGCUCCCUGUAUCUACACAACCGGCCGGUUACUCUCCGAUUUGGACGAUGCGGGUUAGGUUUGCCUUUGCUCGACGGUGGCCUCCGGUCAACGCUCCUAACCCGGCUGACUCGCCUAUCCUAUAGACACUUCGCAUAGCCGGCCGGAACGACUCUCGACAGUUUGUGGAGCUCCGCCGAAAUCAGAGGGGGCCCGGGCCCAUCACCACCACCACCGCCACCAUCACCACCACCACCGCCGCCGCCGCUUCGCUCUUUUCCUCCGCGUUUACAGUCAUCCGAAGACCUAACCAGUCCUCCGUCCAUCCGUCCGUCCGUCCGUCCGUCCGUCCGUCCGUAUUUCUUCUUCGUCCGCCCGCGAAUUAUAAUGGACCUCUUUCACUCCCCGGAGAUAUACCGACCCGCCACACCAGAUGCCGACUUUUGACGCUGCUCCUAUACUAUUCUCUUACACCUACAAUAUAAAAGCGAACAUACUCGAUAUACGUAUAGAUAUAUAGAUACACGUAUACUCGGCGAUCGUUUUAUGCCCGGAGGCAGCCUGGAAUCGCGAGGCACCUCGAUAGAUCCUAACUCUGCGCUAUCGGAUUAUGUACCAGGGGUAUUAAAACGAGACUCCGAAAUUUUAUGGGCGGCAGAGGAGGGGGGGGGAGGAAGGGAUCCGAUCGACGAUCGUUACGAAGUAACCGAAGGUAUCGCGUCAUUUCAUUAAUUGCGCAAGUUCGACGAUUGUCGCACGUGUGAUCAGCGAUCGGUGAGAAUCACGCCGAUGAAACGCAGGAGCGGUAUCAACGUCCGCCGAACGCCGAAAAUGUUUCAGGAGCGUCAGGAGUGAAUCGGGACGCCUUUUGGCCGUCGCCACAUAAUGACGUCAUCGUCGAAAGACGAGUCAUCCGUUCUCCGGGAAUGCCUCUGAUGCGUAUAACCUACCCCACUUUCCCUUGGACCGUUUCAGCUGAAUCAACGCUUUCUAUUACGGUGAACGAGAGAGUACGUGUGUACGUAUAUACAGUUACGAAACUGAAAUCUAAAAAUUCAAAAAAAAAAAGACGCCAUUCGAAUCGCGAGAGGCUUGUAAAAAUCCACGCAAAAUUCGACAAUGUUCUCCGAGUAUUUCGAUCGUAUCCCGUGGGAUUCUUGUCGCCCGACUGAAUGCUGCAGAAGUAGAAAGAGAGAGAGACGUAUCCGUAGGUUUACAAUAGGAUCGGAAGGCGGGUGGGAUAAAUCGAAAUUCGAUCGAGUUCGGGCACGUUCAUCGGUAGGAGCUGGUUCGGGAAGGGUGAAUGCCCGACCUAGAGGCCCGGCCCCGCGUUCGCCGCGGUGUGGUCAGGUCAGGGAAAGAUCGAGGAAGAACAUUGCCACGGUGGCACACGGCGCCUCGGGGUACGAGAUGGAGACCCGCGACGCCGUGAUCUUCGAUUGUUCUCCGACGUGACAUCGCGCCCCCCUCGCCCCCCUCGCCCCACCUGAGAAAAGACGACGACGACGACAGUUGGCGAAAUCGUCGGAGACUUUUUUCUUUUCUUUUCUGUUUUUUUUUUUUUGUUUUUUUCAUUCACCGCGCACGAAUCGAUCGCGACUCGUCCGAUAUCGUCGAGGAUAUCGGAACGAGGUGUUCGAUCUCCGCGCGUUUCGGUUCACGAUUGUAAAGCGUUGAGAUAUGUUGCAACCGUUUGUUCGUAACGAACCAAGUUCGUAUCUCAUGUACGCCACCGUUACGAGCUAAGGUUGGACGUAUCGUACGAUGUGCAGCCUUCCGCGCACGUGGGACUUUGAGCUUUGCUUGCCCAAUAUCGUAUUCUCGGUAGCUUCCCGAGUCUACUUUCGUAGCCGCCGCUGCACACGAUGAACACGAGCGUCCCGACGCGUAUCGGACGUCGAGUUCCUCGCGGUGCCGAAAAGAAGGGCCCUCGAGUCGAAUCGGGAGGAAGAGAAUUCGUGGAAUGUAUUUUUUUGUAAAUCGUGCGGGGGAAUCGCGCGUUCGAAUAUUACGUACGUAUGCAUCGGUAAAGAUUAAUUGGACUCUACGCGAUCGAUCACGCGCGAUUCGAGUUAUUCGGACGUCUGCGGGAUAAGGACACACGCCCGCGACACGUCGUACCGCGAUUUUUAUUCUUUCACCUUUGUUUGUUCGUUGUCCUUUAUUUGUUUUAUUUAUUUUUUUUUUUUUUUCUGGUUUUCGGUAGAGCGAUUGACACAACCGAGGGAUCUCCGAUGUCGCCUCCGGUCCGGAUCGGCGAGAUCUCGCGUCUAUGGGGAGACCAUCGAACGAUAAUAAUAAGAAGAAGUACCGUUGAUCGUUCGGUCGCCGAAAGCUCAGGAUCGCGACAAACCCCCCCCCCCCCCCCACCCCCCCGGGUAUAUAAAGCCGUUCACCUUUUAUCCCAGUAAUACCGCGUUCACCACUACCACGUUAACAUCGCGGUCGUCGACUACAUGCCCGCGAGAACUCGAAGAAGCUUCCUUAUCCGUACUUGAAGUACGUUUUCUCGCCUCCCUCCACUUCUCGCCGUCGUCCAAUCGAGUCACCGACGCAGUCGCUCCGGGCCCCCGUACUACACCGGGGUCCUGAUAAGCGCAGGGGUUCUCCGCUACCGCGCGUCUCUCCCGCGACGUUCGAUUCGCGAUAAAAUCGCCCCCCCAAACUUCCGGAAAACCGAUCGCGAAAUAUGGCGAAACGUUGCGAAACAUCAGCGAGUCAACUCGAGUCAUCCGGAGGGAUUCUCGGAAUUCCUCGCGUCGGGUCGAACGGAGCGACGAUACGUUCGCGUCGGCGGUCUCCCCGGUCAGGUGCGGAAAAGUUUUUCCGCCGCCACGGAUUUUACACCUGGGGAAUUAAUCCUCGCGUCUCCGAAGCGUUUGCACACGGUUUAUAUUGUACACCCCCCGGCCCCCGACGAAAUUUUCGAUCCUCUCGGGAUUAUCAGGCUGAAAUCCGCAGUCAAUCCGCGUGUCUAAACAUUGUACAAUAACUUUUCUAGUGCGACGGGAUUUGGAAGGAUUUGGUAUUGGCGGUCCUUUCUAUUGUGACAAUUUGAGCAUUGUCUACGAAGUGGUGCGGUACACCGUCCCGCAAUGCAGUUAAACUGCCGCGGGCCACACCCCUUUCUAAUCCACUCGAGCCGAUCCCUUUGGCACGGGGUGCGAAAACCCUUUCGACUAUUUCACAGAAGAAUUUACACCGAACAGAAGCUUAACCACCCCUUGACCCUUGUAAAUUUUCAACUGACUGGUGAACGGAACUUGUUACAAUAAAUCCAGCGUGAAAAUUAUCGGGAAAACUUGUUAUAACCGCACCGAUCCGCGCAACGUCAAUUCGCUAAUUCGUCGAUUUAUUGUACCCCCCCAACCACUAAUACGACGAUCGCCACGAUUCCGACAAUCAUUAUUUGUUUCAUCGAAUCGGACGAUUCGUCAAAUCGAACGUCGUAAUUUUUCUCAACGCUGUUGCGCUAGGGAUAGCACACGCUCACCGCGCGCAAAUGAGGGGAAACCGCACGAGGUACACGUGUCGGACGACGGGAGGUUACGGCCCGGUCUAUCGCUAUUGAGAAAUUCGAGAAAUGUGCAUAGACGGUGGUCGCGGUCGGUAUUCACCAGUUUUGCUAACAAUUUCGUUUGUCCAAGCAUUUUUCAGGGCUUACAUAAUUGACGAUGACGCCAGGAGAUACAAACGAUGCCCGUGCGCUAAUGGCUUCAAUAAUAGCGUCGCGUAGCAGAUAAUAUCGAAGAAAAAUUAUCUGGAUUACCUCGGUCAAAUGGAGUUUAUGACUAAUCGAUUUGCGAAUACGUUCGUGGUAUACGCACUAAUUUCCGACGUCCCCACCCCUCCCCCUCCCCCUCCGCCGCCCCUACUUUAUUUUUCGAAUUUCAUAAAUUUUCGACCUCACGCUCGCGGCGGCGGCUUGCGGUUUUCGCAGGGGAUAAGUUUUAGGGCUUCGGUAGCAGUUCUGCAAAUCUGGGCCACCUCGUAUCCCGUAAGCUGUGAAAAUUACGAAACGGUUACUUAUAGCGGUCACGAGUGUAACCGUAUUGUAUGUAGACCACCGGAAUCAAGCUGUAAGUAUAUCGCGACGAAGAUUCGAAGUAUUAAAAAAAUUGGAUGAAACCGGAGGGCCGAUUUUCUUCCUAUCCAACGUCGCACCGCGUAAUCGAUCGGAACCCGACACACCGAUCCGGACAAAUUCUAGAUGACAACGUCGAUCCGUACUAGAAAAAGGUUCGAGAAAUUUCUUGCGCACACGUGAAAACACGUACAGAGAACCUAUACCGCGAUGCAAUAAAAUUAAGGUGAAAGUUUCGUCGGAAGUUUUGUAAAACUCGCUUAGCGAAAUAAAUGGUAAAAAUUAUUUUAUUGGGUUCAAUUGGUCCCCGUGAGCCAAUAAAAUCAUUUACGAUCGGUUUUUCGUGAGAAAAUGAAGAAAAAAAAAAAAAAAAAGAAAAAAUGAGAUCGAAGACCGUGCGUACGUUUCGACAAUACAACGAUAAUCGUCGUAAAACCAGGACCGCAUUGUCCCAAAAGUCGGGCAUUUUUUUCAUCUAGACAAAAGCUCAAACAGCUGCGCGGCGCUGCGGCGUAUGCCGAAAAGUCGCUCCUAUUUCGCUCGACUCGCAAAUUAUAAAUGCAAAUGAAACGAUGACAAAUAAAAGAAAAAAAAGGUGAGAGAAAUUGUCGGUCGAGUUCGGAAGCUGGUCGGACGUGCGAUCGCGUGGAUUUUUUCGUUAAUGUUUCGUUGUUUUUUUUUUUUUUUUAAUUUUUUGUUUUUCUCUCUCCGUUCCGGGGAGGACGAAGAGGCGAGGAACGCAAAGUCGAACGUUUCCGUAAAACCCUCCCUUGGGGUUUCGGCAGCGGUUUAAAACCUCUGAAAAUCCUCCCCUGCCAAUUCCGUUGUGGCUCGAGUAGCGCCAAUGGAUGGGCUCCGCUGUCCAGGUAGAGGGGAGGGGGAGCAACACUUAAAGCGCUGCCUCUCGCCAGGAGCUGUCAGAGCUCUGUGGGGCACGGUCACACACAGCAGCUAGUUUCCGGUAGCGACUAUAUAUAUAUAUAUAUAUCUUUUCAUAUAGUAGCCGGCUUCACGAAUUCGCUCGAUCGAAUUAUACUCGUUUAAAGUAAUUUCGUUGAUAGAAAGCAAAAAAAAAAAACCAAGUUUGUUACAUCGCCGUACAUUAAAUGCGAAUAAGAUUUUUGCAAAAUUUUCGUUGCACGUAAACGGUAAUAAAAAAAAAAAAUCGUACGUACACUUACACGAUCGUACAUAUGUAUGUUGUAUGUAUAUUUUCUUGUUCCGUUCAUUAAACGUGUGCGACCGAGGCUUGAUGAAUUUAUAGAAAUUUUACCGAUAAAUUUUUGCAAAUUUUUACAAAAAAAAAAAACAAAAGCAAAAUAAA